UACGGAGGAUGCAAGCGUUAUCCGGAUUUAUUGGGCGUAAAGCGUCCGCAGGUGGCUAUUCAAGUCUGCUGUCAAAGCUCGGAGCUUAACUCCGAAUCGGCGGUGGAGACUGAACAGCUAGAGUGCAGUAGGGGUAGAGGGAAUUCCCAGUGUAGCGGUGAAAUGCGUAGAGAUUGGGAAGAACACCGGUGGCGAAAGCGCUCUACUGGACUGCAACUGACACUCAGGGACGAAAGCUAGGGGAGCGAAUGGG
rnacentral:rRNA from 1 species